CAAAAACAUCGCCUUUUGAUAUAAAUAUAAAAGGUCCAGCCUGCCCAGUGACCUAGUUCAACGGCCGCGGUAUCCUAACCGUGCGAAGGUAGCGUAAUCACUUGUUCUUUAAAUGAGGACUAGUAUGAAUGGCACCACGAGGGUUAAACUGUCUCCUUUUUCUAAUCAGUGAAACUAAUCUCCCCGUGAAGAAGCGGGGAUUACCAUAUAAGACGAGAAGACCCUAUGGAGCUUAAAACAAAUUAACACCUGCUUCCAUCUAUUUUUAUUCCCGAGCUAACACAUAAAAUACAGCAUUAUUGAUUAAUAGUUUUCGAUUGGGGUGAUUAUGGAGUAAAAAUUAACCUCCACGACGAAAGGGCCACUUCCCUGAGCUAAAAGCUACAACUUUAAGCACUAAAAAAUUAACGCACUUUGACCCAAAUUUUUGAGCAACGAACCAAGUUACCCUAGGGAUAACAGCGCAAUCCAUUUCAAGAGCCCCUAUCGACAAAUGGGUUUACGACCUCGAUGUUGGAUCAGGGUAUCCUAGUGGUGCAGCAGCUACUAAGGGUUCGUUUGUUCAACGAUUAAAACC
rnacentral:rRNA from 1 species